rnacentral:rRNA from 1 species
GACGAACGCUGGCGGCGUGCUUAACACAUGCAAGUCGAACGAGAGCGUAGAGAAAGCUUGCUUUUUCUACAAUCUAGUGGCAAACGGGUGAGUAACGCGUAAACAACCUGCCCUACGGAUGGGGACAACAGCUGGAAACGGCUGCUAAUACCGAAUACGUUCCGAAAGUCGCAUGACUAUCGGAAGAAAGGAUGGCCUCUAUUUAUAAGCUAUCGCCGGAGGAGGGGUUUGCGUCUGAUUAGCUAGUUGGAGGGGUAACGGCCCACCAAGGCGACGAUCAGCGGCCGGUUUGGGAGGGUGACCGGCCCCAUUGGAACUUGACACCGGUCCGAAUCCUACGGGGGGGAACAGUGGGGGAUCUUCCGCAAUGGGCGAAAGCCUGACGGGGCAACGCCGCGUGAGUGAAGACGGCCUUCGGGUUGUAAAGCUCUGUUAUACGGGACGAAUAAUCUUGUGGUUAAUACCCAUGAGAAGUGACGGUACCGUAAGAGAAAGCCACGGCUAACUACGUG